rnacentral:rRNA from 1 species
UACAGAGGUGGCAAGCGUUGUUCGGAAUUACUGGGCGUAAAGGGUACGUAGGCGGUCUUGUAAGUCCCGUGUGAAAUCCCUCGGCUCAACUGAGGAACUGCACGGGAAACUGCUUGGCUUGAGUUCGGGAGAGGGAAGCGGAAUUCCGGGUGUAGCGGUGAAAUGCGUAGAUAUCCGGAGGAACACCGGGUGGCGAAGGCGGCUCCUGGA